rnacentral:lncRNA from 1 species
UGUUCUCCAGCAUUUAAAAGAUUAAUAAGAAAACAAUAUGUUUACUAACAUGAUUUUUUACUUUAAGCUCGAGCUGCAUUCUUGACAGUUGUUGCUGUUCUUCAGUUCUUCACUGCAUAUUUUAGGGAAAGAGAGAAUAAAUGUCUAACAAAACUACCAACCGAUCAUAUAAACCAUCGCUUUUAGUCUUGAGAUCUAACAACAGAGGGCGUGUAAGACACAUGAUGUAAACAUACUGAAUAGUGAUUACCUAUACAUUCAUCUGGGUUGCAAUGCAGUGACUACUGCGGCUUCAAGUCUGCCAAUCCUGGAGACCAGCUCAUUCUUCCGAAUCACACACACGCACAGACACCAUGAGAUUGGUUGUGCGUGGUGGAGAAGAUGGGCACAUGAAGAACCAGCAGAGUCUUCACCAGGAGAAGGAUGUGUGCAUGGAAUGCACGAUCUCUGGC